GUCAGACCAAGGCUGUAGCAGCUUCCCUGGGAUCCCAGCCGAGUGAUGGGAGAGGGACUCCCCGGCUCUUGCCCGUAUAUGGUCGAGAAGAGGCGGCGGCGUUUGGCACAGGCCCAUGGGCCCCAGAGUAGCAACACACAUUUGCGGACCCGUGUUCAAACAAAGGAUGAAGUGAAAGGAAGUCCAUAUGCACCAGCUGCAGCCCCCUCCGCCCACCUGACAUUGCCUGAUGCCCCUUCGGCAGAGCCCCCCUGCUCCCAGACUACACCUGAUGUUUGGGGGAGAGGUGUGUCCCCAUGUCCACCCAAGGGCCACAGAGCCAGAGGCCCAGGGUUGGAGUGAAUGUACGUGGAGGCCUCAGAAAGGGCUGCACCCCUCCCCAGCUCGGUGACGCUAAGAGCCUUGCCUCCCGCCUGAUGUGGGGACACAGCCCAGUACACAGCCCAGUACAGACACCGACUCCCUGUGAGAGAUGUUCCUGCCCCUCACCACGGCCUCUACCCCAGGAUUCCAGCCAAGCAGAGACCUUGAGUACAAACAGCAGGAAGGCAGGGGGGCCAGCGAACGCAUGAUCCAACGUUCAAGUGAUACUCAACCGUAAAGCUGCUUCCUGUCUGGUUUCCCAAGGCCUCCUUGGUGAAGUGCGCCUGGUGGGUGGCAGGCAACCCCCUGCCCGCCGAGUUCCUGGCAACCGCUGAUUUACUUUCCAUCUCUACGGCAUUCAUAUGGACAGACUCGUACGAGAUGCAGUGUUUUGUGACUGGCUUCUGUCACUCAGCUUCAUGCGGUUGAGGUUCAUCUGUGUUGACAUGUGUAUCAGAAUUACAUUCCUUUUUAGGGCCAAAUAAUAUCCCUUGUACAGACAGACCCCAUUCUGUUCAUCCAUUUUUCAACUGAUGGGCAUGCAGGUUGUUUCCGCUUCUUGGCCCUUCUGAGCGUUUUGCGAGGCGGAGCGUACUGACUUGCGUAAGGUCUGUCCCUACGAGGGGAACUGGCUGGGUCAUGCGGCAACUCCAGGUUCAGUCAUUUGAAGAACCUCCAGAUGGUUCUCCCAGCCCUGCUUUGGGGUUCCAGUCCUCACAUCCUCCCCACCACAGGUUAUUGUCCGGCUUUUCAUUCUAGCCCAAUGGCUUCACAUCCUAGUGGGUACGACCUGGUAUCUCACCUCACGGUUUGGCUUUGAUUUGCAUUUGUUGUUAUUCUUUCAAACCAGCUUAAGCUGCAAUAAAAGUC